AACAUCCCCAUAUCCCCCCUCUUUCUCGCUUUCCUCUGUCCCCUUUUUCCCCUUCCUUUCCCUUUAUCCUCAUCUGCCACCCUCACCUUUGAGCCGCAGCCCUCCCUUUGCCCUCACAGCACCAAUCCCUCACCUUUGACCUUCCUCCCCUCGCCACGUUGCGCCCCUCCAUCUCGCACCACACCCUUACACACGACCCCCUUCAUCCCCGAGCCCCACAUCCCUUUACCCAUUCUCGUCAACCCUGUGCCCCUCCCCAUCACCGUUGACCACCACCUACUCCUCUUCGCUUUUACCGUGUCCCUUCCUCUCACCG
rnacentral:lncRNA from 1 species